rnacentral:rRNA from 1 species
UACGUAGGGUGCAAGCGUUGUCCGGAAUUAUUGGGCGUAAAGAGCUCGUAGGCGGUCUGUCGCGUCGGCUGUGAAAUCCCGAGGCUCAACCUCGGGUCUGCAGUCGAUACGGGCAAACUAGAGUACUGCAGGGGAGACUGGAAUUCCUGGUGUAGCGGUGAAAUGCGCAGAUAUCAGGAGGAACACCGGUGGCGAAGGCGGGUCUCUGGGCAGUAACUGACGCUGAGGAGCGAAAGCGUGGGGGAGCGAACAGG